rnacentral:lncRNA from 1 species
UAUUGAUUUAUGUGUGUUACUGCGUUACCUUAUCUCGCCUCCCAGCAAUUGUCAAAAGAGUAGUCCCAACUCCUAUGCAAAGCGAAGUCAGGUAUAUAAGCAUAAGAGACACUAAGCCUAACAACAAAUAACCUUAGUCACAACUAAGCAUGGAUGACUUGUUCCAACAACAAACCAAGCAAGGAUUGUUAUUUUUAACAGCAAACUAAGCAUGGACUAUUAUUUCUAACAGCAAACUAAACAAGGAUUAUUAUUUCUAACAACAAACGUGGAUGGGCCAUAAAAGAGCAGGUUAACUAACAAACAUAAUCUAGCAUUCCACAUUUAGGUUUUCCAAUUAUGCAAUGCCAAAAGUGAACCAAACAACAGUUCAGUUUACAUAAUCCCAUGGAAACACCUACUUCCUUCGAUCCAAAACCUAGCUCUUUUAGGACAGGACUGGGUCUUCAAUAUGGUGAUUUGACCAACAAUUUCUGCAUAAAGUGUUUAUGUCACGUCAAAAAAAUUACAUUACAAACUACUCCCUUCGUCCGAAAAUACUUGUCGAAGAAAUAGAUGUAUUUAGACGUAUUUUAGUUCUAAAUAUAUCCAUUUGUAUUCAUUUCUCGGACAAGUAUUUCCAGACAGGGGGGGUACAUGUCAUGAUAAAUCUAGAAAUAUCAGCUGAUGUUACAGAUGCUGGUAGUUCUACCUUUAUAGAUGGUCAAACUUAGAAAUGUUUGACUAGUAAAAUUCUACUCCCUCCAUCCCAUAAUGUGGGAUGGAGGGAGUAGAAGACUUACAUUUUGGAUUAGUGGUACUCCCUCCAUUCGGAGUUACUUGUCUCGGAAAUGGAUAUAUCUAGAACUAAAAUACGUCUAGAUACAUCCAUUUACGCAACAAGUAAUUCCGAAUUGAGGGAGUAGUACAUAAAGACAGACAGCUAUCACUAAACUCUUCGGGUUGAUCACCACUCACCUAAACAUAGGUCCCACAGCUCCACCAUAGAACCAAAACUGGCCACCUCUUAAAGAGCUCAUGCUUCGGACCCAUCCUUCCUCCAAGGAUUACUGAAUCCAUUGCGAGCUAUCCUCCAAAGUAACACACCAGCUCAAUUUAUGUUGAGCUACCGUUGAAGGCAUUUGGCACAUUAGAGGCUAAAACUCUUAAUUGGAUUCAAACUCAAUGCACCACAAUUACCGAAACCAGAUGCAGUGCAGCAACCACACAUACCCUCCUUCUGAGUGCAGGU